CUUUCGCAUCUACUGUCAAAUCCAUUAAACCGACGUAAUUCCCCGUCUGAGAACUACGCAUCAGUUGUGUCCAAACACGCAUUUCUUACUUCACUCGCGAUCAUCAACGCGCGUCCCCCGUGUUACAACGGAUGUAAACAAUCGAUGCCGAUGUAUAUGCAGCAACAGCAAGUGUUCACACAAAAUGGUUGCAGCAGCAAACCAUCUAGCGCAAGCAAGAUAAUUGCCUCUGCUUUUGCCGAGAAUUGAAAACGGGAUUCUCCAAUCGAUACUGGCUAAAGAACGAAUAUCAUUGGUUCACUUCGUAUUAGCGCACUGUUCCCGCCGCGAUAUAUUUCGCAAACGCGUUUCAUCCGACAUCAUUGCGAACGUGCAUAAAUUGCCUCGCUGCCUGAUUUUAAAUAAUCAGAUUUAAUUUAAGAAAAUAUUAUUUGUCAAAAUAAUUUGGUGUAACAUGGUUAAUCAAUUGAACAAACGGACUGAGAAGAUUUCUAGCUUAUUUUGGGAUGUAUGAAAUUAAUCGCUACGUCGCAACAUCUGCAUACUCUUCAAAUGAAACCCAAUGGUAACAAGAGAGACGAACGAGAUAUAUGUUGGAACUAAAAAUGGUGGGGAGCAGCGAAGAAGGAGCCCGAAUUGAAAUUAAGUCAACCUAACGUGCACUCAAGUAUGAGUAGGGAACCAAUCCGCUCAUAACAAUUUCAGAUUUAUCUUUCUUGGUCAAGUGGAAAAUCAAGGUUUAAUGUUGAUGCGAUGGUAGAGAAAUGUUUUUAUUUGUAGUUUUUCUAUGGAAAAGCGUGCACUAAAAAGAAUACCUGAAAUAACCGGUUUUACCGGGAAAAUACAUGUGAACAAGGCGUGGCAUAAAUGGUUGGAGGCCAACAGGAAUGAAUAUAGUAGGGGAACUUAACGGAACAUGUCGAAAACGACCGAGUCUGGCAUCUAUUGAUCGUAACAGGUUCUGUACAGUUUGCUACAGAUACUUAAAUAACUUGAGCUUAAAAUUUUAUAUUUAGUUCGAAUUGGAAUUCUAUAUUAAUCUAUUAUGCUCGUUGUAAUGAUCACAACUUUAUAGAUUUUUAUAUUUAUGUAAUAUUCUUUUCGUAUCAAUUUUUUUAUAACAUAUUUAUGGCUACAUUGAACAAUUUGACGUUGAAAUAAUCAAGAAGUACAAUUCAUGAUUUCGUUGCAUAUUACGUAUUUUUUUAAUACGCGUUUUAUCUUUGAACGUAACAAAUAAUUAUUGUUACAUCAGAGGUUCACUCUCAACUAUUUUUGUCGCUUUAUUUACGACGAAUAAAACUCAAGCAAGCGGUUGAAUGGUUAAAUAUAAGUUGACAUUCUCAUUCCGUGGAAUACUUGACUAUUGAUUUCAUCCCUACCAUGGACUCCUCGUCCUUUGGUUGGCAACUCUUAAUACAUAGUAUGCGUCGUAGUCAUGAUAGUAUGCGCAGAAAGGUAAUCGUCUUUAUGGAGAAGACGAGUUCACCACGAUAUAGUAGCGGUCUAACUUGAUGCAAGGAGAAAGGGGAUACUUGGAUACGUACGUUGACCCAACAUCCCUGACUACUCCUCCCUCUCCAACAAAUCUGGUUUCAUUGCGAGUUGCGCACAACUUUCUAAGCUCGAACUUCGAACCUUCUCUGACAAGAAAAAAUUGUAACUUUGACGUAAUAGAACACUUUUCUAUGUUAUUUAGCUAUUAUACAAAUAAUUUUAAAUGCUUUGCAGCAGCAUAACAGUAGUCUAUAUUUUUUCUGUGUCGUUAGGACACGUUUUGUAAAUAAACAAAGAAUAUAAACAAAUAUGAUUAAUUCAACAACACGGAAAAUGUAAAACUGUACUUGUAGAGUCUAAAACAGAGAAUAAAAU